UUUAUUUAUUCUACAAACCUCAAAUGGGCCGAUCAGUAAGGGAAAUGAGGUUUGAAUUAUAUUGCUCAUUUCUAUAAUUGGAUUUAAAUUUUUAAUGUUUGAGAUAAGCAUUUAUUUAUUGUAAAGUGUAUAUAUUAGUUUGAGGAGAUUCAUUUCCUUUUCUUCUCCCCAAAACAGUCGACCUUCUCCCCUCUCUCUUUAUGGAACCUCAGUUUGAGUUUACUUUCAACCUUCAAGAAGAUUCAGCCGCCGCCUCUGCUCCGACCGUCGUCGGCUGCCGUCGGGUCCAAGUCCGGCGUCUCGUCUGUUCUUCCCUGGUGCCCCUCGCACUACUCUCAUCUUCUCUCAAUUUAGCGAAGAACCCAAAUGAGAAGCCCUAAUUUCAAAAUCCGAAAUCGCCGUCACCCGAGCCCGAAAUUCGGCAAUACAGCAGCCUCCUCUUCAACGUGGUCGAAGUUCUCGCACCGGAAGUCCUCGCCGUUCCCCCUUCUUUUUCGAUGUGGAGCCCUAAUUAUUAGAAGAAGGAAAUUACUACUGUCGCGACUGGAAGGCCAACGAACGGCUGAGCUUCGCCCGUCUCUGCCUUGAAUCCAUGCUUGAGAAGGAGAGAAAGGAAAACGAGCCCUGAUUCUUUUUCUACUCCCUCCGUCAUGGUUCGGCUGCCACCUCCGCCGUCUGUGGAAGAUCGGCGAUUCAGCGGCGCCGCUCCAUUCACGACGCCGCUACUGCUGCUACACGAUCCCCUCCGAGGCAGGAAGCGCUGCUGUCAUCAUCGUCGUCUUGGCUCGACUGAACAGGGUAGCGUCCCUCGUCGUCGAAAAGUUAAGUAUUCUACUUGUUAUUGUAGAAAGUGUUUGAUGUUGCUUGUGAUUUCUGAGUUCAUGCCAUAAUAAUCGAGGCAUAGGUGACUUCUCUCUAAGAUUCCUAAAGUGAGAUAUUAAACAAAAUGUUAUAUGUUUCUAAGUUAGUAAUUACUUUAAAUUAAGUAAAAUGAUGGCAGGAAUCAUAGCUUCAGCCCAAAGCUUCGAUUUUUGACCCUCCCUCAAGAACCCCAGAAUUUCAUCUUCUUUAUAUUUGUAUCAAUUGACUAUGUAUACAUGUCUAUAUGUAUGUGAAGAAUUGAUUGGGAUUUUAUUUGGGUAUUUAUUCACAAGAAAACAUGAUUCCCUAAUAGUUUAGUUGAAGUGGAUUUGGGAGUUCUUGGAAUAAGCUAGCUACAUGUUUGAUGCUUGUGUAAUUGUACUCCUUGAAUUGUAAAAUGAGAUUAUAUGACAAUAGUUGGAGGAUAUCAAGCAUGCUACUAUAUGUUGAUGUGUUGAACAUGAAUUACGUUUAAGCUAAAGCAUACUAAUGUGUAGUAAGAUGAUGUAUUUGAGUUACUAUAGCUUUUAUUUGAUAAAAAUAUGAGUUAUAUGUUGAGUUGAGAUGAAGAAGGUAUUGCUGUUGGUUUUGCUGUACAGGACAGUACCUUGUAAGGUAUUUUCGGGAGUGUUCCUGUGUUCGAAAUGAUUUGAAAUUUUUACAGUAAUUACUUCAUUAUGAGUAUUAGAUCUCUGCAAAAUUUCAGCUAAAUCCGAGACCAAUAGACAUGUCAAACUAUUUUCUGAAAUGUACUGCACGGAGCAGCAGAGUUCAGUGCAGAUUCUGUCUUUGGUCAUAUAACUUCUUAUCCACUUGAGAUAUUGAGUUUUUGUAAAUUUCUGAGAAAUAUAGACGUUAAUAGCUUUCUAAAGAAGUGAGGUUUAUAUUUUUCUUUGAAGUGGUUGAUUUUAUAUAAUUUUUUUUUCGAAGUUAGGAUUCAAAUGGGUAUGUUUCUUAAACUUGUGAUUGGUAGUUAAUGGAGAUCCUAAACUACUAAACUCAAAUUAAGGUUUUAUUGUUCUAAUUACCUAUUGAGAAUUAUUGAUUACUAAGCUUGUUAAUAUGAUAGUUGAUGGACAUAAUUAUGUUUAUAUGAUUAAUUACUUUGGGAUUUUGUGUUUUACAUGUAUGGUUAGUUGUAAACUGAUCUCUAUGGAAUGGAUUUGUUUACUUCUAAACUUUCUCAAGCAGAGGAAUUCUUAUAAGAUAGGAAUAUUAGUUUAUACGUUCUUAAAGUUCAUAGAGUCAGUAUAUUGAUUAGUUUAGUUGAUGCAACCUUAGCAGUUUAUUGGGAUGCUAUUUAUAGCUAAUUCUUCUUAUCUAGUUAUCCAAUCUUAUUUUAGAAUCUUGCUAUUAUGAAGGUGACAGUAGCAAUGAUAGAUAAGUGAGCAAGAGUUUCUACAUCGUUAAGCGUAUCAGAAGAAGUGGAAACCUGCCAUCCACCAGAUGAACAAUUUAGAGAAUUUACUCCUCCCCCCUCAUCUGGAAAGAAGAAUUGCAGAAAGUUUUUCAUCGUCAAAAUCCCCCUAUUCAUAGUAGAGUUUCGCGAGUUUCGCUUCCUGUGAUGCAAUGAUCAAGAGCACCUUCUUGUAUGUUAUUUCAACAAGGAUCGACUGGUUAUUAGUGGGAGACGAAGCAGAAGAUAUAUACCCUCGAGCGAUUAGAGAGUCUUAUUUGGGGUCAGAUCAUAGAAGCUUUUACCAAGAAUAUAUUUCCAGAAGCCGUCGUCAGCAAAAGGAGACGUAAUUUAACAAUUUAAAGCAAUAGAAGAAGACAGUAGCUGAAUGUGAUCAAGGGUUUUGUGAUAUAGCUGGAUAUAUGCCUUAUAAGGCUGACACAUAUAUUAGUUGUAACUUUUGAUAGAGUUUUGAUGUAGUGCCUUUGCUUGUUGGCAAACCAAAUAUUCUUUCAGCUAUUGCAAGCCAAACAUUCCUUCAACUAAUGAAGAUAUCUCUUUUCCAUUUCAUCCCUCCCACCAAAAGUUUUGUUUGAAAUCUUGAUAUAAUUUAGUGCUUCUGUGGUGGGCAGUAUAUAGCGUAUCAUGAGCUUUACUCUCAACUGUUCAGUAUUGGGUACACAACUUUUCUCAAACAUGAUAGCAGUACCCCUAGCUUUUUGGCAAGUAUUGACCCCUUCUAUCAAAAUCCUUACCCAUAAUUUUUCUCCUUUUUAUUUUCCCCAUGUAUUUUAACAAUUCUUCUUCUCAAAUCAAAAAUCAUUGUUAACAUUGCAAUUACAGCUUCUCUUGUUUGCUGUGGUAGAACCAUUUGUAAAUCCAACUUUCAAAUCCUUGAUGAGAAUUUUUCUUCAUGGGUAAGGAGAAAUCCUUAGUAAACUUGAGUUUUUCUACUCAAGGCAUCCACUACUAUAUUGGCUUUGCGUGGGUGAUAAUUUAUUCUACAAUCAUAGUCCCUUACUAAUUCGAGCUAUAUUCCUUGUCUCACACUUAGAUCUUUUGCUCGAAUAAGUAUUUUAAACUUUUAUGAGGUGUAUCAAUUCCACAUCUCGUUUCAGAAUACCAUUGUUGCUAGUUCCAAGUUAUGUUGAGCAAUUCAGUUCUUGUGGUCUAUGUUCUCAUGACCCAAUAACAAUAACUCUUUCACUUUGCAACAAUGCACAACCAAGUCCAUCUUUGAUACACAGGACCAAUUUUAUAUGGUCUUUCAACUUUGAGAAUUCGGCCAUAUUUUAAAAUAGCCUUUCAUCCAACAACAGAUGAGCAAUUUGAGAGAAAUCUUUAAACCUUAGAAGAUGUGACAUAGACUAUUGUACUAGAGCGAAGAAGUGGCGACCUUAGCAGUAGGGACACUGGCGAUCGUAAGAAAUUCUGGGUUCCAAAACUCUCUUUCCAAAAAUGAUUUUUCAGAAGGAGCGAAUUCCCCGCAAACAAGGCAGGAGACGACUAUCUCAAGGUGCAUCACGCGUACUCAGAAGCCGCAUUAUGCACUAGAUUGAAGGAUGAAUUGGGAAAACCUUUUGCUAGUAAUUGAAUUGGCCUACAAUUAUAGCUUUCGGGCAAUAAUUGAUAUGACACCAUAUGGAGCUUAUUGUGGAAAGAAAUAUUGAUCUCCACUCUAUUGACAUGAGGUAAGUGAAAGAAAAGUAACAGGACCUGAUGCGCUUGAAGAAAUGAUUACGCUUAUCCGACAAAUUCAACAACUGCUCAACGAACCUCAAGAGCGACAGAAAAUUUUUUUUGUAGAUACUCGUUGAUUUGAUUUGAAAUUUUUGAAAUAGGGGAUGAAGUUUUUCUCAGUGUUCCGCAUUCUAAGAAUGCACAAAUUCGAUGUGAAAGAGAAGUAUCUAGCAUUAUUCUCUGACGUAGUCAAAUUUCGAGGACGAAAUUUCUUUAAGGGGGAGAGGAUGUAACACCCAGCAUUUUCACUACAGUAUAUAUAUUAUUUUCUAUUAUCUAAAAGAAGAAAGAGAAGUAGAAUCACUGAGAUGAGAUGAGAUAUUAUUAUAAUACCUUGAGCUUUUAAUUCAAUGAUUGCAUAAUUUGAAUAAUUAAGUAUUCUUGCUUUCUUUAUUAUUUUCAUUCUUGGAAGCAAGUUUAUAAUUCCUAGUUAAAGGGAUUAUUUUAUUAUUUUUCAGAGAUGAGAUUGGUGAUAAAUACGAAAUAUUAUUAGUCGACUUAUUGCUCGGCUAAUUGAAGUGACGGAUGUUAUUUAAUUAUUUAUCUAUGAGCUUUCUUUUUUUUUAAUAGUGAUAGUUUGAGGAAAUUUAGUAUAUGUAUAUAGAAUUGUAUUAUAUUUCAUUGGGUGUAUAAUAAUUUAUUAAUUUAGAUAGCUAUCAAAUACUACUUGAGCUUGGAGCACAAGUUUCGUGAGUCAUAUUAGUGUAGAGAAUUGCUUUUCUAAUUUAUUCUUAUUUUUAUUUGAUCUAAUUUUGAGGGCCACAAAAUAAGGUUUAUAGGAAAAGCCAAGUUUUCCUCUUAUUAUUUAUUUCUUCUACAAACCUCAAAUGGGCCGAUCAGUAAGGGAAAUGAGGUUUGAAUUAUAUUGCUCAUUUCUAUAAUUGGAUUUAAAUUUUUAAUGUUUGAGAUAAGCAUUUAUUUAUUGUAAAGUGUAUAUAUUAGUUUGAGGAGAUUCAUUUCCUUUUCUUCUCCCCAAAACAGUCGACCUUCUUCCCUCUCUCUUUAUGGAACCUCAGUUUGAGUUUACUUUCAACCUUCAAGAAGAUUCAGCCGCCGCCUCUGCUCCGACCGUCGUCGGCUGCCGUCGGGUCCAAGUCCGGCGUCUCGUCUGUUCUUCCCUGGUGCCCCUCGCACUACUCUCAUCUUCUCUCAAUUUAGCGAAGAACCCAAAUGAGAAGCCCUAAUUUCAAAAUCCGAAAUCGCCGUCACCCGAGCCCGAAAUUCGGCAAUACAGCAGCCUCCUCUUCAACGUGGUCGAAGUUCUCGCACCGGAAGUCCUCGCCGUUCCCCCUUCUUUUUCGAUGUGGAGCCCUAAUUAUUAGAAGAAGGAAAUUACUACUGUCGCGACUGGAAGGCCAACGAACGGCUGAGCUUCGCCCGUCUCUGCCUUGAAUCCAUGCUUGAGAAGGAGAGAAAGGAAAACGAGCCCUGAUUCUUUUUCUACUCCCUCCGUCAUGGUUCGGCUGCCACCUCCGCCGUCUGUGGAAGAUCGGCGAUUCAGCGGCGCCGCUCCAUUCACGACGCCGCUACUGCUGCUACACGAUCCCCUCCGAGGCAGGAAGCGCUGCUGUCAUCAUCGUCGUCUUGGCUCGACUGAACAGGGUAGCGUCCCUCGUCGUCGAAAAGUCAAGUAUUCUACUUGUUAUUGUAGAAAGUGUUUGAUGUUGCUUGUGAUUUCUGAGUUCAUGCCAUAAUAAUCGAGGCAUAGGUGACUUCUCUCUAAGAUUCCUAAAGUGAGAUAUUAAACAAAAUGUUAUAUGUUUCUAAGUUAGUAAUUACUUUAAAUUAAGUAAAAUGAUGGCAGGAAUCAUAGCUUCAGCCCAAAGCUUCGAUUUUUGACCCUCCCUCAAGAACCCCAGAAUUUCAUCUUCUUUAUAUUUGUAUCAAUUGACUAUGUAUACAUGUCUAUAUGUAUGUGAAGAAUUGAUUGGGAUUUUAUUUGGGUAUUUAUUCACAAGAAAACAUGAUUCCCUAAUAGUUUAGUUGAAGUGGAUUUGGGAGUUCUUGGAAUAAGCUAGCUACAUGUUUGAUGCUUGUGUAAUUGUACUCCUUGAAUUGUAAAAUGAGAUUAUAUGACAAUAGUUGGAGGAUAUCAAGCAUGCUACUAUAUGUUGAUGUGUUGAACAUGAAUUACGUUUAAGCUAAAGCAUACUAAUGUGUAGUAAGAUGAUGUAUUUGAGUUACUAUAGCUUUUAUUUGAUAAAAAUAUGAGUUAUAUGUUGAGUUGAGAUGAAGAAGGUAUUGCUGUUGGUUUUGCUGUACAGGACAGUACCUUGUAAGGUAUUUUCGGGAGUGUUCCUGUGUUCGAAAUGAUUUGAAAUUUUUACAGUAAUUACUUCAUUAUGAGUAUUAGAUCUCUGCAAAAUUUCAGCUAAAUCCGAGACCAAUAGACAUGUCAAACUAUUUUCUGAAAUGUACUGCACGGAGCAGCAGAGUUCAGUGCAGAUUCUGUCUUUGGUCAUAUAACUUCUUAUCCACUUGAGAUAUUGAGUUUUUGUAAAUUUCUGAGAAAUAUAGACGUUAAUAGCUUUCUAAAGAAGUGAGGUUUAUAUUUUUCUUUGAAGUGGUUGAUUUUAUAUAAUUUUUUUUUCGAAGUUAGGAUUCAAAUGGGUAUGUUUCUUAAACUUGUGAUUGGUAGUUAAUGGAGAUCCUAAACUACUAAACUCAAAUUAAGGUUUUAUUGUUCUAAUUACCUAUUGAGAAUUAUUGAUUACUAAGCUUGUUAAUAUGAUAGUUGAUGGACAUAAUUAUGUUUAUAUGAUUAAUUACUUUGGGAUUUUGUGUUUUACAUGUAUGGUUAGUUGUAAACUGAUCUCUAUGGAAUGGAUUUGUUUACUUCUAAACUUUCUCAAGCAGAGGAAUUCUUAUAAGAUAGGAAUAUUAGUUUAUACGUUCUUAAAGUUCAUAGAGUCAGUAUAUUGAUUAGUUUAGUUGAUGCAACCUUAGCAGUUUAUUGGGAUGCUAUUUAUAGCUAAUUCUUCUUAUCUAGUUAUCCAAUCUUAUUUUAGAAUCUUGCUAUUAUGAAGGUGACAGUAGCAAUGAUAGAUAAGUGAGCAAGAGUUUCUACAUCGUUAAGCGUAUCAGGUUAAGCUGUGAUGCAGAUGGAGGCGAGCAGAGCAAAGCUUUUGAAGUAUAAGUAUUAAAUUAGGCUCAGGAUUCCAUGUCUUCAUACAUGUAAUCCACUUAAGUAUUUCCGCUGCAACACUUAGUGUAUUUUACUUUAUUGAUGUGUUGUAUAGAUUUUAAAUCAAUAGCUUUGAGAAUUAUGUCACUGGAAAAUUUGACAACUUGUCGUUGUGUUAUUGUGAGUUGUCUGCCUAAGCAGUUUAGAAAAGAUUGCUCAUGAGUUUUAAAAGUGAUUUGCUCAUGAUUAUUCAAUACUAAAGUAAUUCAUCGUUAAAGAGGGUUCAUUAUUAUUA